rnacentral:rRNA from 1 species
UACGGAGGGGGCUAGCGUUGUCCGGAAUUACUGGGCGUAAAGCGUGCGCAGGCGGUUGUGUAAGCCAGAUGUGAAAUCCCCGGGCUUAACCUGGGAAUGGCAUUUGGGACUGCACGGCUAGAGUACGGCAGAGGAGACUAGAAUUCCUGGUGUAGCAGUGAAAUGCGUAGAUAUCAGGAGGAACACCGAUGGCGAAGGCAGGUCUCUGGGCCACUACUGACGCUGGAGAAGCGAAAGCCGUGGGAGCAAACAGG